GAAUCAUGUCAAGUGGAAUGAAUGGAUACCAAUUAUUUUGUAAAGAAGAAGCUUCUAACGAUGACUCCUUAAAGUCUUUGACAUUUCAC